rnacentral:rRNA from 1 species
CUACGGGAGGCUGCAGUGGGGAAUAUUGCGCAAUGGGGGAAACCCUGACGCAGCAACGCCGCGUGGAGGAUUACACAUUUCGGUGCGUAAACUCCUUUUAUUUGGGAAGAUGAUGACGGUACCAAAUGAAUAAGCACCGGCUAACUCCGUGCCAGCAGCCGCGGUAAUACGGGGGGUGCAAGCGUUACUCGGAAUCACUGGGCGUAAAGGGUGCGUAGGCGUCCUCAUAAGUCUUCUGUGAAAGCCACUGGCUCAACCAGUGAAUUGCAGGGGAAACUGUGAGGAUAGAGUAUGGAAGGGGCAGGUGGAAUUUCCGGUGUAGGGGUAAAAUCCGUAGAGAUCGGAAGGAAUACCAACGGCGAAGGCAACCUGCUGGGACAUUACUGACGCUGAGGCACGAAAGCGUGGGGAGCAAACAGGAUUAGAUACCCCCGUAGUC